AUUGAACGCUGGCGGCAUGCCUUACACAUGCAAGUCGAACGGUAACAGGUCUUCGGAUGCUGACGAGUGGCGAACGGGUGAGUAAUACAUCGGAACGUGCCCGAGAGUGGGGGAUAACGAGGCGAAAGCUUUGCUAAUACCGCAUACGAUCUCAGGAUGAAAGCAGGGGACCGCAAGGCCUUGCGCUCACGGAGCGGCCGAUGGCAGAUUAGGUAGUUGGUGGGUUAAAAGCUUACCAAGCCGACGAUCUGUAGCUGGUCUGAGAGGACGACCAGCCACACUGGGACUGAGACACGGCCCAGACUCCUACGGGAGGCAGCAGUGGGGAAUUUUGGACAAUGGGGGCAACCCUGAUCCAGCAAUGCCGCGUGCAGGAAGAAGGCCUUCGGGUUGUAAACUGCUUUUGUACGGAACGAAACGGUCUGGGUUAAUACCCUGGGCUAAUGACGGUACCGUAAGAAUAAGCACCGGCUAACUACGUGCCAGCCGCCGCGGUAACAC
rnacentral:rRNA from 1 species